rnacentral:rRNA from 1 species
AGUGAACGCUGGCGGUAGGCCUAACACAUGCAAGUCGAACGGCAGCACAGUAAGAGCUUGCUCUUACGGGUGGCGAGUGGCGGACGGGUGAGGAAUACAUCGGAAUCUACUUUUUCGUGGGGGAUAACGAAGGGAAACUAACGCUAAUACCGCAUACGACCUACGGGUGAAAGCAGGGAAUCUUCGGACCUUGCGCGAUUGAAUGCGCCCAGUUGGAAUUUGUUAGUGGGCGGGGUAAAGGCACACCAAGGCCACGAUCCGUACCUGGUCUGGGAGGAUGAUCAGCCACACUGGAACUGAGACACGGACCAGACUCCUACGGGAGGCAGCAGUGGGGAAUAUUGGACAAUGGGCGCAAGCCUGAUCCAGCCAUACCGCGUGGGUGAAGAAGGCCUUCGGGUUGUAAAGCCCUUUUGUUGGGAAAGAAAAGCAGCAGGUUAAUACCCCGCUGUUCUGACGGUACCCAAAGAAUAAGCACCGGCUAACUUCGUG